CCCCCUCCUGGUCCUUCUCACAGAUGUCUUGGGAUACAAGCUGGAGGAUGGACGCUUGCAUUCACAGGUUGUAUGCAAAGCGUGCUAUCAUCUGCUUGACAUUAUAGAUGAGUUGCAGCAGACCUUAACAGAGUCAAAGACAGAUGUCAGAACAAAGUUUUUAGAAACUGUCCAGAAACUGAAACUGAAGUAUCCAAGGACAGAUAAGAUGCUAAAACCCAGAUGUCUG